rnacentral:rRNA from 1 species
CAGCCGCCACGGUAAUACAGAGGAUGCAAGCGUUAUCCGGAAUGAUUGGGCGUAAAGCGUCUGUAGGUGGCUUUUCAAGUCCGCCAUCAAAUCCCAAGGCUCAACCCUGAACAGGCGGUGGAAAAUACCAAGCUGGAGUACGGGAGAGGUGUGUGGAACUCCGAGUGUAGAGGUGAAAUUCGUAGAUAUUCGGAAGAACACUAGUGGCGAAGGCGACACACUGGCCCGUUACUGACGCUGAGGCGCGAAAGCGUGGGGAGCAAACAGGAUUAGAUACCCCCGUAGUCCCUGUCUCUUAUAC